GAUGAACGCUGGCGGCGUGCCUAAUACAUGCAAGUCGAGCGAACGGACGAGAAGCUUGCUUCUCUGAUGUUAGCGGCGGACGGGUGAGUAACACGUGGAUAACCUACCUAUAAGACUGGGAUAACUUCGGGAAACCGGAGCUAAUACCGGAUAAUAUUUUGAACCGCAUGGUUCAAAAGUGAAAGACGGUCUUGCUGUCACUUAUAGAUGGAUCCGCGCUGCAUUAGCUAGUUGGUAAGGUAACGGCUUACCAAGGCAACGAUGCAUAGCCGACCUGAGAGGGUGAUCGGCCACACUGGAACUGAGACACGGUCCAGACUCCUACGGGAGGCAGCAGUAGGGAAUCUUCCGCAAUGGGCGAAAGCCUGACGGAGCAACGCCGCGUGAGUGAUGAAGGUCUUCGGAUCGUAAAACUCUGUUAUUAGGGAAGAACAUAUGUGUAAGUAACUGUGCACAUCUUGACGGUACCUAAUCAGAAAGCCACGGCUAACUACGUGCCAGCAGCCGCGGUAAUACGUAGGUGGCAAGCGUUAUCCGGAAUUAUUGGGCGUAAAGCGCGCGUAGGCGGUUCUUUAAGUCUGAUGUGAAAGCCCACGGCUCAACCGUGGAGGGUCAUUGGAAACUGGAAAACUUGAGUGCAGAAGAGGAAAGUGGAAUUCCAUGUGUAGCGGUGAAAUGCGCAGAGAUAUGGAGGAACACCAGUGGCGAAGGCGACUUUCUGGUCUGUAACUGACGCUGAUGUGCGAAAGCGUGGGGAUCAAACAGGAUUAGAUACCCUGGUAGUCCACGCCGUAAACGAUGAGUGCUAAGUGUUAGGGGGUUUCCGCCCCUUAGUGCUGCAGCUAACGCAUUAAGCACUCCGCCUGGGGAGUACGACCGCAAGGUUGAAACUCAAAGGAAUUGACGGGGACCCGCACAAGCGGUGGAGCAUGUGGUUUAAUUCGAAGCAACGCGAAGAACCUUACCAAAUCUUGACAUCCUUUGACAACUCUAGAGAUAGAGCCUUCCCCUUCGGGGGACAAAGUGACAGGUGGUGCAUGGUUGUCGUCAGCUCGUGUCGUGAGAUGUUGGGUUAAGUCCCGCAACGAGCGCAACCCUUAAGCUUAGUUGCCAUCAUUAAGUUGGGCACUCUAAGUUGACUGCCGGUGACAAACCGGAGGAAGGUGGGGAUGACGUCAAAUCAUCAUGCCCCUUAUGAUUUGGGCUACACACGUGCUACAAUGGACAAUACAAAGGGCAGCGAAACCGCGAGGUCAAGCAAAUCCCAUAAAGUUGUUCUCAGUUCGGAUUGUAGUCUGCAACUCGACUACAUGAAGCUGGAAUCGCUAGUAAUCGUAGAUCAGCAUGCUACGGUGAAUACGUUCCCGGGUCU
rnacentral:rRNA from 1 species